rnacentral:rRNA from 1 species
GUGAGGAAUUUUCCGCAAUGGGCGAAAGCCUGACGGAGCAAUGCCGCGUGAAGGAUGAAGGCCUAUGGGUUGUAAACUUCUUUUCUCAGAAAAGAAUUAUGACGGUAUCUGAGGAAUAAGCAUCGGCUAACUCUGUGCCAGCAGCCGCGGUAAGACAGAGGAUGCAAGCGUUAUCCGGAAUGAUUGGGCGUAAAGCGUCUGUAGGUUGUUUAAAAAGUAUUCUGUCAAAGAUUAGGGCUUAACCCUAGAUAGGCAGAAUAAACUUUUAAGCUAGAGUUUGGUAGAGGCAGAGGGAAUUCCCGGUGGAGCGGUGAAAUGCGUAGAUAUCGGGAGGAACACCAAAGGCGAAGGCACUCUGCUGGGCCAAUACUAACACUGAGAGACGAAAGCGAGGGGAGCAAAUGGGAUUAGAAACCCCCUGUAGUCC